GCGGCGGACGGGUGAGUAACACGUGGGCAACCUGCCCUGCAGACUGGGAUAACUUCGGGAAACCGGAGCUAAUACCGGAUAACACCGAAAACCGCAUGGUUUUCGGUUGAAAGGCGGCUUUUAGCUGUCACUGCAGGAUGGGCCCGCGGCGCAUUAGCUAGUUGGUGAGGUAACGGCUCACCAAGGCGACGAUGCGUAGCCGACCUGAGAGGGUGACCGGCCACACUGGGACUGAGACACGGCCCAGACUCCUACGGGAGGCAGCAGUAGGGAAUCUUCCGCAAUGGACGAAAGUCUGACGGAGCAACGCCGCGUGAGCGAAGAAGGUCUUCGGAUCGUAAAGCUCUGUUGUCAGGGAAGAACAAGUGCCGUUCGAACAGGGCGGUACCUUGACGGUACCUGACAAGGAAGCCACGGCUAACUACGUGCCACCAGCCGCGGUAAUAC
rnacentral:rRNA from 1 species